rnacentral:rRNA from 1 species
GAUGAACGCUGGCGGCGUGCCUAAUACAUGCAAGUCGAGCGAACGGACGAGAAGCUUGCUUCUCUGAUGUUAGCGGCGGACGGGUGAGUAACACGUGGAUAACCUACCUAUAAGACUGGGAUAACUUCGGGAAACCGGAGCUAAUACCGGAUGAUAUUUUGAACCGCAUGGUUCAAAAGUGAAAGACGGUCUUGCUGUCACUUAUAGAUGGAUCCGCGCUGCAUUAGCUAGUUGGUAAGGUAACGGCUUACCAAGGCAACGAUGCAUAGCCGACCUGAGAGGGUGAUCGGCCACACUGGAACUGAGACACGGUCCAGACGCCUACGGGAGGCAGCAGUAGGGAAUCUUCCGCAAGGGGCGAAAGCCUGACGGAGCAACGCCGCGUGAGUGAUGAAGGUCUUCGGAUCGUAAAACUCUGUUAUUAGGGAAGAACAUAUGUGUAAGUAACUGUGCACAUCUUGACGGUACCUAAGCAGAAAGCCACGGCUAACUACGU